GGAAGGUUCAGUUCUUCACCCUAUAUUGAACUUUCUUAUGAGGUCAAGAUGUGUAGAUGAAGGUUCUGGUCUGAGAUCUUAAAAAGGGAGAAGUCUAAUAUCACCCACACAUUCCUGUCUUCUUUCCUUCAACUGUGCCCUCAUACUGGCUCCUUGAUCUGAGUUAUAUCUAUCCUAUUCAAGUAGGAGCCUCUGAAACUCUCUCUCAAUCCCUGGACAAGAUCUAAACAUGUGCCACUCCAGAGGCUGUAGAAGUAGCUUGUAGAAAUAUGGACUAUGGAGCAAAAUGGGACUGGAAAGGUCAUCCAAUCUCACCACCUACUGGAUGUUCAGAUCUGUUCCACAGUAUCUCUGCAAUGGAUCAUUGACC
rnacentral:lncRNA from 1 species